rnacentral:rRNA from 1 species
UACGAAGGGUGCAAGCGUUACUCGGAAUUACUGGGCGUAAAGCGUGCGUAGGUGGUUCGUUAAGUCUGAUGUGAAAGCCCUGGGCUCAACCUGGGAAUGGCAUUGGAAACUGGCGACCUAGAGUGCGGUAGAGGGUAGUGGAAUUCCCGGUGUAGCGGUGAAAUGCGUAGAGAUCGGGAGGAACAUCUGUGGCGAAGGCGACUGCCUGGACCAGCACUGACACUGAGGCACGAAAGCGUGGGGAGCAAACAGG